UUUUACUACAUAUGCAUUUGUUUUGUAUGAACUCAGAUCUCUGAUUUUUCAAAUCUAUUUGAGAUCUAUAUGCUUUCUCAGAUAUUGGUGUUCAUUGUUUUGGUUUGUCAAUUUCUAUGCCCUUUCUCUGAUAUUGAUGUUCAUUGUGUGUGUUUGUUGCUUACACUGUAAAUUCUCUGUCAUUGUUCUGAUAUAUAUACACGGUAAAUUGAUGUUUGUUUGGAGAACUUCAUUUGUUAAUUUCUAUGCCAUUGAUUUUGUUAAUUUCUACACUGUAAAUUGAUUCGUUUGUUGUGCACGAUCUGAAUUCUUUGGCGUAACCACAAACUUGGCAAUAACUCUGCAACUUUAACCCUUCCAUGCCAAGCUAACCAGCCAACGUUAACCCGUCUAGAUGAAAGACAUAAUAUUCCUUCCGUGGACUGCAGUAGCACCAACCCAUUUGUACAGAGACACCACAAAAAGACACUUGAUGAAUCAGCUUUCCACAUCAUCUUGUCUUCUCCGUCACCAUUCAGCUGAGUUAACAGAGCUAAUCUAUUCUGCAGCAACCCAAAAUCCUCAUUUUUUCUUGAUCUAAGACCUCUCCUGAAAAAGUCUCCUCCACUAGGUCCUCUCUUCCAUUUGUCCAUGAAGAAGAAUGCAGAAAUCAUUUUUAGAGAUGUCAAGAUUAAAUAACCUUAGGAACUCCUCUUUAAGGACAAUAUUACCCAGCCAUUUAUCAUUCCAAAAAGACAGUUAUGCUGCCAUUCCCAAUGGAGAAUUCAAUAUUUGAAACAAAGAAGCUAUACAAAUCUAGGUAUCUAUUUUUGAUAGCCAUGAUAUCUUUCCAAACACUAGAAGAAUUGUGUGGAGAAGUGUCAAAAGGCAGCCAGGAAUUACUCUCUGAUCUUGACUUACAACUUAUAAAUCUCCUUUAGAGAGAACUUCUUUCCUUCCCAUACCUCCACCACCAUUCCAUCAAGGCAUUCAUUCAUUCCCUUUAUUUUGAUAAAUAAAUUUUGUAUUUAGAUAAAUAAAUUCUUUAUUUAUUUUGAUUGGUUAGGGUAGGCAGCAAUUACAUGAAGAAUAAAGCAUGUAGAGCUAAUUAUUGGGUGAAAAUUCUUUACAUUUGGGAUAGUGUCUCAUUUACGAAUAUUUAAUAUUAAUUAUGAAAUUAAAAACACAUAACUCACUCAACAGAGGUUGAAAGCUAGUGUUACAAUACCAUAACUUGUCUGUUUGUGUAAUUGAUUUUACCAAACAUUGAUAGAUUAGAAGCUAGUGUCACACCUUGAUAAUGAAUUUAUUUGUUAGAACACUUUAUUUACGGUUAUGAUCAGGCAUGUCAAUUGAUCAUCUUUAUAUUAUGGUAUAAAAUUUUCACUUUAGCAUCAUGCAAUAGUCACCAAGUAAAAAAAUAUUGUUGUGGGCUUGCUGCUAUGUGCCUAGAUUGGUAUGUUGUUGUGUGUAUGCUAUUAUUGAGUACUUAAUAGUUAAAGUUGCUGAUUAUUGCUGACGAGUCGAUGAAGAAAUUUAUUUUGGCAUCUGUUGGGAAAAAAAAAAUGGAGAGAGUGGAAGGCUAGAAUUAAAAAAAAAUGGGGUAUAUGCCAUUCGACAAUGAUGUUGAUAGGUUAACACAUCGACCCGAAAGAGUACAUGAGCAUCAAUGGCGAGCUUGGUCUAUUAUUGAGCCAAGCUGAUGGGCAUCUGAGCUCCGCGAGAAGUUUGACACCAAUAAGCACGUGGAUUGAAGAGUACAUAUAUUUUGUGUAGUAAAAAUCUCAUGAAAUGUGUAAUUAAUUUGGUUCAUAGACAAGUUGAGUACUUUCAUGUACUUUUCCCCAACUCUGUAUAAUGUUUUAUGAUGUGUUGAUUACAAUAUAUUAGAUGUAUAAAAAUUCUAAUUAGCUUGAUGCAUGGUUGGCACA